rnacentral:rRNA from 1 species
UACGUAGGGGGCUAGCGUUGUCCGGAAUCACUGGGCGUAAAGGGCGCGUAGGCGGCCUGAUAAGUAGGGGGUGAAAUCUUGCGGCUUAACCGCAAGGCUGCCUUCUAAACUGUCAGGCUAGAGCACAGUAGAGGCAGGUGGAAUUCCCGGUGUAGCGGUGGAAUGCGUAGAGAUCGGGAAGAACAUCAGUGGCGAAGGCGGCCUGCUGGGCUGUUGCUGACGCUGAGGCGCGACAGCGUGGGGAGCAAACAGG